rnacentral:tRNA from 1 species
GGGCGCGUGGUUUAGUGGUAUAAUUUUCCCUUAGCAUACUUCGUAUGACAUUCAGUCUGGGAAAGGUCCUGGGUUCGAUUCCCAGCGCGUCCA